rnacentral:lncRNA from 1 species
UUUUUCCAUUUUAAGCCAUUUUUCAUUUCAAUCAAUAGCCAUGUUAAACCAUUUUUAAGCCAACUUCCAAACAUUUACAUUAGACCAUCAUUCAAUUCCAAGUACAUAUAUUCAACCAUUACAACCAUGUUUAUACAAAUUCCAUACAUAUUUCAUAUAUUCAAUGUAUUCAAUAAACCAACUACAAAGUUCAUAUACUCCAAUAGCCAAAUCCAAAGCCCUGUAUUUUUCACUGACAAUCUCCAAGCUUCAUAACUAAUCCAAGUCCAAACAUGUAAACAUCCCUGCAAAUCCAAGCCGAGUUUGAAUCCAUCAUACACUUCAUGGCCAAUGACAACCUGCAUAACUGUAAUAGAAAAAACAUGAUUCCACAAGCAAGCCAUUGAAUUCAAGACCCUGCGUCAUUGUCCAAACAGAGGAAAAAUAAAAACCAGUCUUAGCCUGCAAGAAAAAGCUAAAUGCACUAUAACUCAGUUCUAAACAAAAUCCUCUAACUUCCUUCUUCAUUUACACUCACCAUUAAACUAACAACGUUCUAACUGAUCAUUAUCCAACUAAAUAAUUAUUUCCUAACUUCCUAACUACCUGUAAUAGAAAGCAAACAACAUAAAAUAAUUGAGAUUGUGUAUAAAAGCAUCACUACAACAUUCACUCUCUCACUUUUCUUACUCACACAAAAAUUCUCAAUCACUGAAAACAAAAUCGUCUUCUCAACUCACCUUUCAGCAAUCUCAGGAAUUUUCUCACUUUUCUUGAGAUUUCAAAAAUCAUCUCAUUCACAUUUUAUCACCUUCAUCACCCUCUGAUUCUUUCACUUUUCUGAACUCACAUAAAAAUUCUCAAUCACUGCAAAAAGAAUCAUAUUCCUCACUCAUUCUUCACAGAACAAUCAUCAUCCUCUUCACUCCUCUCAAGAAUACUCGUCAAUCCAUAUUUAUCACCAUAUAAACAAUUCUCUCACUUCAGAACCACAACACACGCAUAGAAGAAGAGAAUCGAAGGCACGUAACAGAAGAAGAAGGAGAAGACAAAGAGAAGACACGCGAACAAAGAGAACACAAAGAAGAGUUUCAAGAUUGUAC